GGGGCUGUAGUGUAGCUUGGACGGUCUGGCUCAAUGGGCUGUGCCGAAGCAACUAUCACCGGCGCUUGGGGUGCGUCUGACCGGGGUUCAAAUCCUCGCAGCCCCA
rnacentral:tRNA from 1 species